UGUGGGAGGUCCUUGAGGCCGCUGAGGUCGUGAGUGUCUGUUGAACGGCUUGUGGAAGUCGUGCUGCCUUGGGUAGGGCGUUAAAGUCGUUCUUGAGAGGAACGUCUCUGUCCGAAGAGAAAAUGAGUUUAGCUCUGAGAAAUGAGCUUGUAGUAGACAAAACAAAGAGGAAAAAAAGAAGAGAACUCUCUGAAGAACAGAAACAAGAAAUUAAAGAUGCUUUUGAACUAUUUGACACAGACAAAGAUGAAGCAAUAGAUUAUCAUGAAUUAAAGGUGGCAAUGAGAGCUUUGGGGUUUGAUGUAAAAAAAGCUGAUGUACUGAAGAUUCUUAAAGAUUAUGACAGAGAAGCCACAGGGAAAAUCACCUUUGAAGAUUUUAAUGAAGUUGUGACAGACUGGAUAUUGGAAAGAGAUCCACAUGAAGAAAUAUUAAAGGCAUUUAAACUAUUUGAUGAUGAUGAUUCAGGUAAAAUAAGCUUGAGGAAUUUGCGACGUGUUGCCAGAGAAUUGGGUGAAAACAUGAGUGAUGAAGAACUUCGGGCUAUGAUAGAAGAAUUUGAUAAAGAUGGUGAUGGAGAAAAUGGCACACAGAGAAGGUAGACAUCUGCAAGCCAAGGAGAAAUGCUUUAGGAGAAACCAAACCUGCUGACACUUUGAUUUUGGGUCUUCUAGCCUCUAGAACUGCAAUGGAAGGAUUGAAAUCUCACCCCCUGUGAAGUUAGGUGGACUGUCACAUGUUUUGGCUAAUGAAAUCUGAGCAGAAGUGCUAUGUGUCAAACAGAGGUGGGAAUGGACAAGUGCUUUGUAAGAGUUGGAGUUAAGAUAAAUACCCAGUUGUGACGCAGAUAAGGAGAACAGAAAUGGAGCAAUUGCAGUUGAAGAUUAGCCUUGGAUACAUUUUCUGGUAAGUCUUCGGCUUCCCCACCAUUUUUAUACAUUAUUAAUGUAAACUAUGCAUGAAGAACUGAAACACUUGGCAAAAUUUAAUACAUACACUGAUUUAAACUUUGUAGGGACAUUUUACUCAUAUUUGCUUUUUGAGAGAUAUGAUUUAGGAUGGAAACUUAGUUUGUCUUGUCUUGAGAAUUCUAGGAAUAAAGACUCCUCAAACUGUUUGGAUAGCUCAUUUAAUUCCCUGGUAAUCAAAAAGGUCUUUCUGAUUUCUGGUCCCAGUCCUUUCUACUUUAACUGCAGUCUCCAAAGAAACAGAAACAUUGGGAAGGUGUUGCCGUUCUACCUCUCAAUAUUUGUUACAGAGACCACUGAAAGCAGUGGACUUUCUAAUCCUCACCUUUGUUUCUUCUCUGUUUUCUUUUUGUUUGUGAUUUUCUCAUCAGGAAUGAAUGCUUCUUAUUCUUUCUGUUUGUUUGCUUAAAAUAGAGACAAUUUAGAUAACAUACCAAGACACGUGAGUAUGAAUGAUUAGCGGUCAGCCCUUAGCAAUUAUACUUUUGCUAAAACACAUCAAAAUAUUUGAUAGAUGGUCUUUCACAGAUAUCAGUGUGCACUUGAGUUUAGGGUUUAUAAAGGUUUACAAGUAUUUAUGUAUGAUUUUGUGUGUAUUUUCAGAGUUUUUUUUUUUUUUUUUUCUUGUGGAACUUUGAAAAAUGAAGAGAAUUAAGUUGUUUCUAAAAAGCCAAAGCAGCCUGCCAUCUCUUUUUCUUUUCUGGGCUACGGUCCAAUUUGCACAGCAGUUGCAAAGAAAAAGCAAACGCAUCACUAGAUUCAGCGAGAAAUAUUGUAACAGUAUGUAAUCUCUGUCAAGAUAAAAUUGCUUUGUGAUUUACAUUACAAUAAAUCCUGACCUUUAAGUGCUGCAGACUAAGCUAAUCUGUGAAGUACUUUAUUCCAACACUGAAUCAGCGAGUGAAGCUCAACCAAAUUGACUGUAUUUGUCCCACCGUGGUGUGGUUAAAGAGCCUAUAUAUAUCGAAGCAGAUUACAGAGCAUUGUUCUAUGUGUACUAUAAUAAGUAGAAUAAUUGAAAUAUUCAAUCUGUUUC